UGCAGUGAGCAUGGGGUGCAGAUAUCUUUUUGAGAUAGUAAUUUUAUUUUCUUUGGAUAGAUACCCAGAACUGGAAUUUCUAGAUCAUAUGUUUUAAAAGACUUAUUUAUGUUAUAUGUUUUCAUUCAGAAUUUGGUAAGCUAUGGCUCAUCAGCCAAAUUCAGCCAUUGCCUGUUUUUGUGGCUGCUUUCAUGCUACAACAGCAGAGUUGAGUAAUUGCAAAAGAGACCAUAUUGGUUACAAAGUAGGAAAUAUUUACCAUUUAGCUCUUUACAAAAAAAGUUUACCAACCCUUGGUCUAGUCCAGUGUGAAUUCAGUGUGAGUCAAGAGCAUGAUAUGCUCACUGAAAAAAAGCCAUUUCUCUCUUUGGAUCCAUUUAUUAAAAUAUAGACGCUUAAAAUCAUUUGUGAAUGAAUCAGUGGAUGAACAAACAACCAAACUAGGGAGAGGAUGGCUCUUUGUGGACCAGAACCCACCAGAGUCCGUAGCUCCAUACUGAGGAUACAGUUAAAGAGAAAUACCGGAGGUGGAACCCUGGAGAGGAAUACCAGCGACUGGAGCUCACUCAGAGGAGAGGGCUGAGAGGGUAUUGGGAAUCGUAAUAGGAACAAAUGAAGGAAACUGGGAUGUUUAGCCUGGAGAAGCAAGUGCCCGAGAGGGAUAUCAACAGCAUCACGGAUAUCAACUUACUGAUGACGUUUAUUGAGUCUUAGGUACCAUGUAUGUUUGAUGACAUCGAUGAUACUAAUUGAAUCUUGUGGAACAGGUUCCUUAAAUAUAUUUAUCCAGUCCUCACAACAACCCAAUCAGAGCAUAAGUGAAAACAGUAAAAUUAAAUUUCAGCAUGUCAGUUUUAUAAAGCAGUUUAGGUUAUGGUGAUUUAGCAGAAAUCAGGAAUGCAAGAAACGUAUCACACUUAUAUCAAAUUAAGGAUGUUAAGUUAUGUUAAUAAUGUAUGCAACUUUAAUUUUGUUUAACACUCUCUGCCAAAAUAAACUAUAUUCCCUAUAACUUAAAAUGUGUGUGUGUGUGUGUAUAUAUAUAUACACAUACACAAUAGUUUAUCAUGUACAUUUAAUUCCACUGUUUUGGCUGUAAUAAAAUCGAUCUUGAAAUUUAAGAAAUUGGUAAAAUUGGUGGCAUUAUUAGGCCCAUUUUGCAAAUGAGGAAUCUGCAGCAUAGAAGAUUAAGCUGUCCAGGUUUGCACAAACAGUAAGUGGGGAGGCCGAGAUUCAACCCAUGCAGUCUGCCUGUAGAGCCUGUGUGCUUAAUUGUAUGCCAUUUGCUGUCCUCCAGUAUUUAAAGGAAUAUUAAUAACCUUGUUAUUUCUGAUUCCAACAAACAGCGACAGCCAGAGGAGAUGGUGAAACAGACUCCAGCUCAAUACAAAGGAGAACUUUCAAAUGCUCAGAGAUGGAACAGGUUUUUUCAGUAUUUCAGGUAAGGGCCAGAUGACUUGACCAAGAUUUCAGAGAGAGGAUUCCAGAAUGGAUAAGAGCAGAUGGCCCCCCAGAUUUCUUCCUCCGCUUGAUUCUACCAUGGUCUAAGGCUGGGGCACUCCCUAGGAUGGUCCACUUAGGUCAACAAGACACAGCAGACUGGGAUCCAGGAGGGAGACACUUUUCUAAGUGCUUUAGAGAUGUUAACUCAUUUAAUUCUCAAAACAGCUGAAUGAACAGAUACCAUUAAUGACAUCGUUCUCAUUUUACAGAUGCAAAAACUGAGCCAUAUAGUGGCUACAUAAUUUAUCCAGAGUCACACAAGUAAUGAGUGUUAGAGCCAGGGUUUGAAUUUUAGCAUUCUGACCCAAAGCCUCUGCUCACAACCAUUUCCAUAUAAAAAUCUCUUACUAAGAGAGAAUGUAUAAUUAGAAAAUGUUCCUUUUAUUUCCCUCUGCCUCCCCACCAAGAUUUUUGGUAUGUCCCCUUCCUAUCUUGCAAACCACUGUAUUACUAGAAGUUAAUGAUAGCAGUUGCCAAUGUAACAUUCUCAUUUUGUCAGGUGAUAAUUUACAGGGUCUGAUUCUUCCGCUUCAGAAACAGGAUCUGAGGCAGGGGGUUCCCAAAUGCACCAUAAAUUCCUACAGACUAAUCAAACUUCUAUGACUGUGUUCAUUCUCUCAGAAGGCCUAACUGAAGGUAUAAACAGUAAUGUCCUACUCACAAUAUAUAUCUGGUUCCUGUUAAAGUAUUACCUCCACUGUGGGAAACGCUGCAUUUCUAUACCUCUUCUACAGAAGGAAGGCUGGGCCUUACACCAGUGGUUCCUGCAUAUUAACUUCCCUAAUGGGAAAGUGGAAUUUGGUAAUAAAAGGAAUGACACUUGACACACAGUAGGUACUAAAUAUGUAUUUGUUUAAUACAUGUGAUCAAUUGGAAUUUAUUGACUUUAGGAGAAUAAAGGUGUCAAGAUAAUCUAUUUCCCCUCAUGGUGCUUUUUGGUCUCUGACAGUAGCUUGUCCUAUUUAAUUUUUUGCCCUCCAAAUCUUUCUGUUUCCAGUAACUGGGCAAACAAAAAUUAAAGUGUCUUCUCAAUUGCUGCAUUCCUGAGUGUAAAAAUCUUUCUUAGGAGAAAAUGUUGUUGUUACUGUUUAGACAAACUAUGCUUCCAGCCUGCUUUUAUUCCAGAUCUUUUUUUCCUCCGUAUUCACAGUAAGCUUUGCUAAUCCAAUUAGGACACAGAGCAUGAACUGUUAAAUAACUGAUUCACUCUAUAGAUAAGGAUACAGGCCUUUGUGUCUAAGAAGACCACUUGAUUCGCUGUGUACAAGGACAGACUGUUCCUUGCCUGGUUUAUUUACCAUGUGUUUUAAUUAGCUGCCCGGCCUUUCAUGGUAGUUGCUGUUCCAAAAGUGGAGAGAUUUGAGCUUGUUAAAGUGAUGGCUUAAGUAAGAGCUUUGUCAUUGUGUUUGUACUUUUCUCUCUGCUCUCACUUCUGCUCAGAAACUGAGCUCUGUAGCCCAGUAUGACAACAUUGGUAUCCUCCCAGUGGCCCCAGAGGCAGGUUACACUACAUUGUGGGCUCCUCAGUGGCACAAACUUUGUCUCAUUGUCUUUGUACCCUCAUGGUGUAGCACAGUGCCCAGCAAUGCUUACAGCAAAUGCUUAAAAAAUACUGGUUGAACUUUUCAACUGAGGCCCAUUCAGGAAGGCACACAUCUUUGUCAUCCUCUCUCUCAUACUGUCUCUCACAUAUUGUCAAUCUCAAAAUCCUGUGUAAUCUGUCCAGAGGUAAUAUGCAAUGACUAUUAAACCAACAGUGCACAGGGGCACCGACCAGUGAGCCACUGAGCUGGAACAGGAUCCUGAAGGACCCUGCCUAUGAUAGACGUUGACUCCGCAGAUCCAGGGAAGGGACAUUCAAGGGAGAACCUAGGGCUGCGGCAGUGGUACUUACUAGUUGAAAUGGAAGUAUUUAAAUAUUUUAACAAAGGUACAGCUGUACUUGUGCAUACCAGCUGAUCAUAUCUGUUUAAUUCCCCCAAAGCCAUGCAGUACAAUGCAGCCAGACUUAUCUUUUUUUCCUUUCCCAAAUGGAAAUAUCAUUGCUUUUUUCCUCUGAUAAACAUAGCUGUUGUAAAAAUAUGGUAAAAUUAGAUGAGCUGGGAAGUUGGUAGCUGCGGCAUAGCUUUUGUAAUUUCUCUGAAUCGCCAAAUACAGACAGAGCAACGAGGGCGAAAUGAAAAACCCGUGAACACAUUUACAAUAAAACUGGGUGACAAGAUAUUCCCCAAGUCCCCAGAUACAUGCAUGGUAUCAACAUCUGUGCAGAGAAAGCAGAGGGAAUCAGUGGGGCGUAUGAUGGGAUGGAGAGUGGGAGAACCCCAGAACAGUCAACAGGCACGCACUGGAACGCAGGGCAGGCUCAUUUGAGAACAGCAGCUGUAACUGGGAAGAGCCUGCCAACGCCAAGAGCAGGAGAGUUUGCAGUAAAAAUGGAAGGAGCAGAAGCAGCCUAACUGUUACAGACUCUCACAACUGACCAGCCAGGGACCCUUUCCAGGAUAGGAUACUGGCUUGAGAAGAAACUGUGGAAGGAGACAAUAGAGAAGGGAAAAAAGCCAGAGGUAAGUGGGGGAAGGAAAGAGAUCCAAGAAAUCUCAGAGCAAGCUGCCAUGUUUUUUAGAUCCUCAUUAGACCAUCAGAAAAGGGAGUUCCAUGAAGUUACUAGAGCUAAUUUGGGCCACACUCCUUCCUAAAAUUUCAGGAAAGCUACUUUUCCAUAAAAAAAAAGUAAUAAAAAGUACCAAGAUCAAAUCCCACACAAAGUUGUUUUUAGAAAAAAAGGUGUACACCACAGAACAUCUAUCUAGACAGUGGAAUCACACCAGAAAUACAUGUGCACAGAACAGAUCAAAACUAUAACCUUCUAUUUAAAAGCCAGCUAGAAGAUAUUAAGAAAGUCAUAGAAGAUAUGAGCACAAGUCAAAUUAGAAAAAAAAAUUUUAAUGAGGUGAUCGAACUUAGGAAAGAAUUAGGAAGAAAUAAAGAAAUAAACUUUAGAAAUGAAGACUAAACUGAAAACAAAUAAAUCAGUAGAUGGGCCCUUAAGGAAAACAGGAUGUGGAAAGAAUGAUAUUUCUUUAACAAAUUAAGAAAGAAACAAAAAUUUCAGGAGAAAGUAACAAAUACUGAAGAUAGAAAAGUAAGAUCCAGCAUGUAGACAAUAGGAAUCCCUGAAGACAAAAACUAAAAGAAAGGAACAGAACACAUGAUAAAAUUUUAAUUCAAGAAAAUUUCCCCAAAAUUAAAAAAAAAUUCAAAACUGCACGUGAAAAGAACAUGCUGCACAUGAGAAUAUGAUACCAAAACUACCAAUACUUAGAUACAUUCUGGAAAAUUUACUAUCUUUUAAAGAAGAAAAAUCAUUUGAGCAUCUAAGCAAAACAGGAAAAGAAAAUUAUCUUAUUAGUGUCAGACUUUAUGAAAGCAACGGUUUACCCCAGAAGAAAACAGAAUCACGUAUUUAACUAAUUUAAGACACUCAGGGUAGGAAAAUGUGAACCAUGUACAGUAAAACUGACUGUCAGGUAUGUAAGUGUUUUACCUGACAGCUGUCAUUAGUAGGCAAACUAUUAUCAACAUUCAGGAACUCAGGAAAUAUUGUUCCGUGAACCUUUUCAGAGGAUUCUACUGGAGAACAAACUUCAGAUAAGAGACAGGUGGUGAGAGUUGAAAGUAUGGCUGUUUUUAAAUUCAGAUAAAAUGGGUGUUAAAAGGAGGAGAGCACAGCAUGUAAUGGCUGUAUGACCAGAAAAUGUAGAUAAGGCACAACUAUUGAAAAAUGAGGGGGCAGAACAGGGAAAGUAAAUGUGAAAAUGUCCUUCAGUGUUUUCAGUAAUAGUGUUUAGUAGUAUCAGCAUUGCUACUCUGAGAUAGUCUGGGGAUAAAGUAAAUAGGUAAAUAUGGAUAUUCUAAUUCUAUCAUCCCCUGUGUUCUUAGGAACCAGGAUUUUCAUUUGGAAGAAAGAAAACUGUGGAUGUAACAAAAGAGGAAACGCAGAGGACAGAGAACAAAUUGAAGUGCGACAUAACUGUGCAAGCAGCAAAAUCCAGACUGUGGGAAACUCAAGACAAAUGCCCAGGGUUCUUCAACCAAGACAGGAAAAGAAAAGAAUGGAGGUGGAAUCUGCAGAAAGAGACAAACAAUGUAUCAAAUUAUUUUUAAAUACAUGUGUACUUGAGUGAUAAAAUCAUACAGAAAUGUAAAGAAAUUCAAACUUUAAAAGUCAGGAUGAUACUGAUUUUUGUGGGGAGGAAAAGAAACAGGGCACCAGAGGAGUUUCUGGGUGACUGACAAAGUUCUAUUUGUUGACUUGAAUAGUGGUUCCAAGGAUGUUCACCUUAGUAACUUAAAAAGCCACAUAUUUGUUUUUUGUUUGUGUUUGUAUCUAUGUUUCUUUGUUUCAUUUUUAAAUAAAAAGGUUUUUAAAAAUGAUGCUGAAAU